rnacentral:rRNA from 1 species
AUUGAACGCUGGCGGCAUGCUUUACACAUGCAAGUCGAACGGCAGCGCGGGCUUCGGCCUGGCGGAGAGUGGCGAACGGGUGAGUAAUGCAUCGGAACGUGCCCAGUAGUGGGGGAUAGCGGGGCGAAAGCGGGAUUAAUACCGCAUACGACCUGACGGUGAAAGCGGGGGACCGAAAGGCCUCGCGACAUUGGAGCGGCCGAUGUCGGGUUAGCUAGUUGGUGGGGUAAAGGCUUACCAAGGCGACGAUCCGUAGCUGGUCUGAGAGGAGGACCAGCCACACUGGAACUGAGACACGGCCCAGACUCCUACGGGAGGCAGCAGUGGGGAAUUUUGGACAAUGGGGGCAACCCUGAUCCAGCCAUGCCGCGUGCGGGAAGAAGGCCUUCGGGUUGUAAACCGCUUUUGUUCGGGAAGAAAUCCUCUGGGCUAAUACCCCGGGGUGAUGACGGUACCGGAAGAAUAAGCACCGGCUAACUACGUG